rnacentral:miRNA from 1 species
UCGAAUCCCAGCGGUGCCUCU